CGGUGUUCAACUGGCGUGUCCGCGGGACGUCCUGCCGGUGGGCUUAGCCCGCAAGGGCGGCCCAACUUCAAAUCCCAUCGCGGUGCUCUUCACUGAGUGUCGAGGUGGGCCGGCACGUUUACUUUGAACAAAUUAGAGUGCUUAAAGCAGGCUAAAACUUCGCCUGAACACUGUGUGCAUGGAAUAAUGGAAUAGGACCUCGGUUCUAUUUUGUUGGUUUUCGGAACCCCGAGGUAAUGAUUAAUAGGAACGGAUGGGGGCAAUCGUAUUGCGACGUUAGAGGUGAAAUUCUUGGAUCGUCGCAAGACGGACAGAAGCGAAAGCAUUUGCCAAAAACGCUUUCAUUGAUCAAGAACGAAAGUUAGAGGUUCGAAGGCGAUCAGAUACCGCCCUAGUUCUAACCAUAAACGAUGCCAGCUUGCGAUCCGUCGACGUUCCUCCGAUGACUCGACAGGCAGCUUCCGGGAAACCAAAGCUUUUGGGUUCCGGGGGAAGUAUGGUUGCAAAGCUGAAACUUAAAGGAAUUGACGGAAGGGUACCACCAGGAGUGGAGCCUGCGGCUUAAUUUGACUCAACACGGGAAACCUCACCAGGCCCGGACACCGGAAGGAUUGACAGAUUGAGAGCUCUUUCUUGAUUCGGUGGGUGGUGGUGCAUGGCCGUUCUUAGUUGGUGGAGCGAUUUGUCUGGUUAAUUCCGAUAACGAACGAGACUCUAGCCUGCUAACUAGGCGUAUUUUCGACAUCUCAAAGGUCCGUCGUCCCGGCCCUCGGGUCGUGGGCGCGCGCGAUUUUUACUGUCGGCGUACUAUCAAUUCUUCUUAGAGGGACAGGUGG
rnacentral:rRNA from 1 species